AUGCGGACACAGAGGCAGAGGAUGGCGGUCCAAAGUGUUUAAUGAACAAACAGGGAGUGGGCAGGCUCGUAGUGGUGGACAGGCAGGGGUCGUUAUUGGAAGAUCAGAUGGUUGAAGGUACAGGAGAGGGCAGGCAGGCUCGUAAUCCG